rnacentral:rRNA from 1 species
GACGAACGCUGGCGGCGUGCUUAACACAUGCAAGUCGAACGGAAAGGCCCUGCUUUUGUGGGGUGCUCGAGUGGCGAACGGGUGAGUAACACGUGAGUAACCUGCCCUUGACUUUGGGAUAACUUCAGGAAACUGGGGCUAAUACCGGAUAGGAGCUCCUGCUGCAUGGUGGGGGUUGGAAAGUUUCGGCGGUUGGGGAUGGACUCGCGGCUUAUCAGCUUGUUGGUGGGGUAGUGGCUUACCAAGGCUUUGACGGGUAGCCGGCCUGAGAGGGUGACCGGCCACAUGGGGACUGAGAUACGGCCCAGACUCCUACGGGCGGCAGCAGUGGGGAAUAUUGCACAAUAGGCGGAAGCCUGAUGCAGAAACGCCGCGUGCGGGAUGACGGCCUUCGGGUUGUAAACCGCUUUCGCCUGUGACGAAGCGUGAGUGACGGUAAUGGGUAAAGAAGCACCGGCUAACUACGUG